rnacentral:lncRNA from 1 species
CUAACACUUUCACUUUUUCACUUUUAUGUAAUUAAUUAAAGCUGCAUAGGGCCUUCUUGUCUUAUUUUGUUAUUCCUUCCUCUUCACAGGAAGUUUCACCAAUUGAAAGAGAAACCCUUGUGUGGCCAUUCAUGUUUUGUACUGGUUUGGAACAUAGAGAAAGAUGGAAGUGUUUGAUGAAAUUGGGCAGAGAAAUCCUGACUGAGGAAGUUGGAGGACUACCAGGUCUUUGGAAAAUACAUCACACAUUCACCUGCUCAGAAUGAAAACAACCCAUACAUUCCACAGUGAAGAAAGAAUGUCAAGAGAAGCAUCGUCAGAGCUUUUGGAUAUUUCUUACCAUAUGAGGAGUUAAGUAGAGUCGAGUGAAUGUGGAAGCCUUCAUGAAAUUCAUGUAUUUUGUUAAUAUAAUUGAAAUUGUUUUAUGAUUUGGGAACUUACUGAUAAAGCUUUGUAAAACUACAGAUAAUAAACUAUAUUUAGUUACAUAUUGAAUAAGUCA